CUCAAUUUCGACUUAUCAUUAAAAACUGCUGCUACCGUACAACGCUUUGAAUCUAAAGCAAUUCCAUCAGAGGUUGAUAGUGCAAUCCUUAAGUCGAAUGCAUUGGCACCAAAAAGUUUCCAGUCCUCGGUUUUCACAAAAUCUUUCAGAAAAGAAAGUGUUCUCAAGGGUGGAAGUUGGAGUAGGGCUCCUGAAAUUGGGUUAAGUAGACACAUCUUGGAAUUUAGACCUCUUUCCUUUAUCAUGAUCAACCAACCUUUAGAAGACCCAAAAAUCCACCAUCCACGAACUUGCUUAGGUAGCUUCAACUUGACAACUCUCCCCUCUGACACGCUGGCAAAGCUUACGUACUUGUUGCUGCAAUGUGGGGUUUGAGGGAGUAGUAACCAUGGGAAUUCAUGAGAAGCACUGCGGAUGUCUCUACGCAUAACGAUUGACAUCCAAGACUUGCAGGCAAUGCUUAGCCUUAUUUGAUCACUUACUCUGACACGCGGCAGAACUUGCUCCAUGAUAUCAGGAGGCGGUGGCUGCCAAGAGCAGCCUAAGCUUGCUCGUAUUGCAUCGAGGAUUGAAGCAAGCGAAUAGAGACUCGAUCAUCAUCGAUCUCCUUUUCGGCAGAAAUCGAGCAACUAUGAACCCUACUUCUUUAGAAACGUUAUAAAGAAGUAAAACGGCGAUCGACCUGCUUUCAGUCUUGACUUGGAGAGAUUGCCAAUGGCCUGGUAUUAUAUAAUAUAUCAAGAUCGAACUCUUUAAGGAAUUAAAACAAAUGAGAAAAUUUCAAUACGUGCAACAGCAUCACAUGAACGAGCUGGACGGUAAUUUUCUUUUUUACCUGUCUACCAGUCAAGGGCUUAUAUAUUAUUUCUGGUACCUUUUCCAUUCCAUUCUUGGUUUUAUCUAUUUAGGAUUUAGGUUCACGGAAUGGGAAUGAUCGAGAGACGUCUCUGUAUUCUGUAAUGUUAUGGUAUUCUCUCCGUAAUUUUCCCACUUCUGUCUUGCUGAUGCUUUACGGUAUCUUUCAUCGAAUUCUGUGAGACAACUUACUUUAUCAAUAGUGCUGCAGUUUCACAUUAAAUAAAGAUUUACUUUUAUUCCUCCACAAUCUUCGUUUGAGUUGUGUCAUGUAGUUGUAUUCUCACGGAAUAUUCCAUUGUCUUAGUUGAUGUGCAUUUCUGGUUUCAAACCAUAUAUUGGAGGUUUCUAUGAUGUUGCAGUGAUUAAUGUCAAAUGAGGUGGAACUAGGACAGUGGCUACAAUUCCGGUUAGGGU